UCUUUUGCCCUGAGAAGAAUUUUCAAGACUAAACCUUUCUACCUAUUGGAGAGGCUGAUUGUUAUUGAAGCAUGUGAAACAACGAAGACUAUGGGAAUCCUACUGUGUUUUUCUCCCAUGAGCCCUCCCCAUGGCCCCAGCCUUAUGAUUGGAAUAGCAACCCUAACUAGAGGAAGAAGUGGAGCAACACCUUUUGAUGACCAGAGGGAGGAAGGAAGCCUUGCUGCAAGCUGGUCAGGUAUGACAAAGACGUGCCCUUUGAGGUGCUGGAAUUGACUCUUGAGUUUCAAGAUUCUCAAAUUCAAAAUCCUCUCAAGCUCAAAAAGUCAAGUCCGCAUUUGAUUACUGAAAACCUGCAUUUCCUCUAACUAGUGUCCUGAUGCUUAGUAAUGGAACCUUGACUUGAUGUCCAGCCUUCUUGAGAACGCAAUCCUUAUGCCAAGAACUCGACUACCUACUGAGGGAAUGAGACUGGAUUCUGCUCUUAUGAGCCUCCGUUCCCCUUGAAUCCCCAUCACCAAUCCUGAGCCCCUUAGGGUGCAGGAGUCCUGCUGCCAUGGGGCAAUGUGCCUGUGCAGAGUGGUUGCCUGGCUUCCAGAAUUAUUGUUUCACCUCUUCCCUCGCUGUAUUCUGCCUGCUGGAUCUCCUCUCUCUACAGCAGCUAGAGAACCAUCCCACCCGAAAUAAAGGCUUGGAUGAAAGCUAAUGCCAGCUGAAGAUGGAGGAUUAGGGCCCAGGUUUGAGAGUCCCCUGAGGCCACUAAGAAUUUACCCACUUAACAGCUCUGCAUUUGCAAGGGACCGUGACAAAACAUAGAAUCUACAACCACUUUUCAGCUUUAGAAAAAAUACUCUCAGGAAAAAGUACAUUUCUGUUUCUAUCAAAGUUUGUUUCAAAAAAGGUAAAAAUGCUAUUCAAGUCUUCCUUCUAGCAUUAAUCUUACUCUUCAGACUAAUUUACAUGACAUAAAGACUUCUUGUUCUAUUGCCUUCUGCAAAUAUAUAUAUUUACAUAUGAGUAUUCUAUAUUCCCUGAUAUUUCAGCUGUUCUAGAACUUCCAUACUUCCUAAGCAUCCUUGACUAUACUGAAAAAGUGCUGGCUAAUGCCAAUUCUCUUCUACCUGACAGCCAUCCUUCAUUUCUGAGCGUGUGUUUAAAGUUAAGCCAGUGGAGGUCUGAUGGGUAGAUCUGAGUUCACAUCAGUCCAUCAGAUAAGAAAACAUCUGAGAGCCCCUCCCCCCAGCUUUUCGACAGCACAGUGCGGGUGAAACGUCCACCUUCGGCUCAAUCUUGCGCUGAACUUCUCUGGAGCCUCAUCAGUUUCUUCUACAUUAAAUGUGGACAGUGGGUAUAACUUGCAAGGUUUUUGUACAGAGUAAGAUGUCGAGCUGAAUAGGAGUCUGGGAAGACGCCAGACGCCUAGAAGGUAGAAAAGCGCUAAGCAGUCAGGCUCUCCUCAAACUCACAGGAAUUGCUUCUCACUGGCCUCGUGGGGGCAGCACUGCCCACUCCUCUGGGCACUGGCACAUGGGGGGAGUGUUGACCUGGGGACUGUGAGCUGGAACCUGGACUCCCUGCCCCACCUGUCAGUCAGUCCUCGGUGCAAAUGAGGAUUCUGAGCAGUGCUUUCUAUUCCAGGACGGUCCCUGCCCUUCCUCGCUGUACCCCCUCCCCCUGCGCCUCUGUGUCUGGAUCAUCCCCCUGCCCCCAAAAGCUUUAUUUCAGUGCCCAGUUUGCUCCCGCCUUUUUGGUUAACCUAUAACUCAUUAACUAAUACAGCUCUUUCUAAUUCACAAGUUUCCUAUCCAUCAAGCCAUCUUAACAAGAAAAUCAGCCCUCAUCAAACACAAGAGGAAUCUUUGCAAAUUGAUAGAAAAAAAGAAAAUUGGUAGAAAAGAAGAUCUUUGUCAGGUCGAGAAUUUUCCCUUAAUUGCUGGCCCCCUGGAGUUGCUGCCUUAUGUUCCCUGGUGGCCUCCAGUCCCCAGGGGUCACAAGGCAACCGGGGGCACUGACCUAAGGCGGGGAUGAGUUUGCUGUGGGGCAAGUGCAGUAAAGGAGUAGAAUUGCUCCAGUUUUCACCUUUCAUUAGGCUACCUGAGGAUGGAGAAAACUUUCUCCCUC